rnacentral:lncRNA from 1 species
GUGCACAUAGCCUGUCUUCUCUUGAGAGCCAGGUCUUUUUACGGCUGCCUUUCUCAAUAGCAAGGCUAUGCUCACUGAGUUUGUACGUAGUCAAAGCUUUCCUUAAGUUUGGGUCAGUCACAGUGGUCAGGUGUAACCGAUGUGAAAUGGCUAGUUAGUUAGCGGUGGUGCGCGCUAAUAGCAUUUCAAUCGGUGACGUCACUCGCUCUGAGACCUGAAGUGGUUGUUCCCCUUGCGUUGCAAGGGCCGCGGCUUUUGUGGCGCGAUGGGUAACGAUGCUUCGUGGGUGUCAGUUGUUGAUGUGUGCAAGGGUCCCAGGUUGGGGCGAAGAGAGGGACGGAACCUACACUGUUACACAGGUAUUCUGCCAUUGUGUACUCUCUGUUUAGGGCCAAAUAGCAUUCUAGUUUGCUCUGUUUUUUUGUUGUUAAUUCUUUCCAAUGUGUCAAGUAAUUAUCUUUUUGUUUUCUCAUGAUUUGGUUGGGUCUAAUUGUGUUGCUAUCCUGGGGCUCUGUGGGGUCUGUUUGUGUUUGUGAACAGAGCCCCAGGACCAGCUUGCUUAGGGGACUCUUCUCCAAGUUCAUCUCUCUGUAGGUGAUGGCUUUGUUAUGGACGGUUUGGGAAUCGCUUCCUUUAAGGUGGUUGUAGAAUUUAACGUCUCUUUUCUGGAUUUUGACAAUUAGCGGGUAUCGGUCUAAUUCAGCUCUGCAUGCAUUAUUUGGUGUUUUACGUUGUACAUGGAGGAUAUUUUUGGAGAAUUCUGCAUGCAGUCUCAAUUUGGUGUUUGAAUUCUUGGUUGGUGAGCGGACCCCUGACCUUAUAACCAUAAAGGGUAAUGGGUUCUAUAACUGAUUCAAGUAUUUUUAGCCAGAUCCCCCCUCUCUCUCUCUCUCUCUCUCUCUCUCUGUUAACCAGAUUGAAUUUAGCAGUGUCUCUCCUCCAGUCUGUAACACAUUCCUACCAUCUGUUGGAACUUGCUGGCAGGCAGGGAGGAGGAGGAAGCAGUGGUAUUUCCACGCUUUCUAUAAAUAGCUCAUAUGCCACAGUCAGUCAGUCAUCCAGUCAGUCAGUCUCAGUCGGUCAGUCGGCCGGUCAGCCGGUCAGUCACUAACCUCGAUCACUCCACACAAUGGAACCAUUCAGAUGCCCCGAGACAGAGAUCUAGUAUCAGUUUCUGAUCAGCGUCCAGAGGCAACUUCAACUUCCCCAAUCCCCCAUCAAUUCAGCUCGACAAGACAGAAUGUGAUGAUGUCACUUGUGAUGUCAUUUCCCAUUGGACCUGACUAAUUGCUAGACGUCCCUUCAAUGGAGGAAGAAACCAUCUGUUCACAGCAGAGCAGGAACAACACAUAGUGAAUAAGGUCAUUUCAAACAACAGCAUACGUUUACGACUACUGCAUCACCACAUCAUCACUGACAACACAACAUUCAGUACCAUAAAUAGGGUGAGUUUAUCGCACUUGGCCGUCUUCUGAAACGCUAUCAGAUUCGUAUGAAGCAGCUCUACAGAGUACCAUUUGAACAAAAUUCUGACAGUGAAACAACUGCGCUAUGAAUACGUACAAAGAGUUCUGGAACUAGAUGCUGCUGCAGAGCAUCAUGAUUUCGUCUACGUUGAUGAGGUCGGCUUUAACAUAGCUAAAACAAGCCGCAGGGGAAGAAACCUCAUAGGACACCACCAUCGUCAAUGUCUCUGGACAGCGUGGUGACAACAUCACAAUGUGUGCAGCCAUUAGUCAGAAUGGUGUCCUUCAUCGCUUGUGAUGUUGAUGGGGUACUGUGGCCAGACCCAAAAUGGAGACAGGAUGCACCCUAAUUGUUUUUUUCUUUAUAAUAACAAGCCUAUUUGUUUUUCUUCUACUGUAUUUGUUUAAUCUGUUACUGUUCAUCCCGAAAUCUGGAUGAAAAUACAAAAUACUAUGUUUUGAGAAAGAAAUACAUUACAUUUUUCCCCCCUUGCAUUUCUGUUUAUAGUGUAAAUAUAUACUGAAUAUGCAUACAUACUGUAUAUAUUUUUGCAUAUACAUGUAUGUGUGAGUGCUUUGACAAACUGCCGUGGACUCCACUGCACACUGAACAUGCAAAAGACACAAGAUAGUAGUGUUUUCCAUUUGUCACAUCCGUGUGUAGUUGGCGUGUAUAAGAGCUAAUCAUUUGAUGGUUUGUGUGAAGAGUUUUGAUGCAAAAACACAAUUUUGAGAAUUUUGAGUUAAAAUCGUUUUGAAUGAAGUGUUUGGUUUUGCAAGAGAUGUGUGCCGUUUUGCAUGUUGUGUGUGCUUUAGGGUUUUGUGUGUAGAGUCUAGAGAAAAGGAGCCGUAGUUUCAGAAAUCAUGUGUAAGCAAUUGUCAAAAACUGUAAUAUGAAGUCAUACUUUGAUUAACUGGUACACGUUGGAUUAGACUGUGGAUCCACAGGCUUAUCUUUUCAGAGGAACCCACAACCCAGUCUCUUUUCUAUUACUCUCUUUUCUACUCUACUUCUCCAUUCUCUCUCUUUCUACCUCUCCCACUCUGUCUAUCAUACACAUGUCCACAGUGGUGGAAAAAGUACCUAAUUGUCAUAUUUGAGUAAAAGUAAAGAUACCUGAAUAGAAAAUGACUCAAGAAAAAGUGAAAGUCACCCAGUAAAAUACUACUUGAGUAAAAGUCUAAAAGUAUUUGGUUUUAAAUGUACUUAAGUAUCAAAAGUAAAUGUAAUUGCUAAAAUACACUUAAGUAUCAAAAGUCUAAGUAAAAGUAUCAUUCAUUUCAAAUUCCUUAUUUAAACAAACCAGAUGGAACAAUUUUCUUGUUUUAUUUUAUUUACGGAUAGCCAGGGGCACACUCCAACACUGAGACAUAAUUUACAAACAAAGCAUGUGUGUUUAUGGAGUGCCCCAGAUCAGAGGCUGUAGGUAUGACCAGCGAUGUUCUCAUGAUAAGUGCAUGAAUUGGACAAUUUUCUGAGCAGGACAGCUCAGCAUUCGAAAUGUAAUGACUACUUUUGGGUGUCAGGAAAAUGUAUGGAUUAAAAAGUACAUUCUUUUCUUUUGGGAAUGUAGUGAAGUAAAAGUAAAAGGAGUCAAAAAAUAUCAAUAGUAAAGUAAAAUACAAAAAAACUACUUAAGUAGUACCUUAAAGUAUUUUUUACUUAAGAACAAAUACUUUAUACCACUGCAUGUACAUUAACUUCCUCUCUCUCCCUCUCUCUCGCUCUCUCCCUGGGGGGUUAGGAUUAAAUCAUGCACAUUCACUAAUUAAUGAUUCCAAUAGUCAAAGCUAUUUGGAUGAAGUUGCUCCCAGACACUGAUCUACUGUCAGUUUUGUUUUCCCCUCCACUUGUUAAGGUUAGUAUUCAAAGAGGGGAAGCUGAUUCUAGAUAUGUGCCUAAUGGCAAUUUUAAGUCAUUAUUG